UUAGGAAUCUUGCGCAAUGGGCGAAAGCCUGACGCAGCAACGCCGCGUGGGGGAUGAAGGCUCUCGGGUUGUAAACCCCUUUCAGCAGGGACGAAUCUGACGGUACCUGCAGAAGAAGGACCGGCCAACUACGUGCCAGCAGCCGCGGUAAUACGUAGGGUCCGAGCGUUGUCCGGAUUUAUUGGGCGUAAAGAGCUCGUAGGCGGCUCAGUAAGUCGGAUGUGAAAACUCAGGGCUCAACCCUGAGACGCCAUCCGAUACUGCUGUGGCUUGAGUCUGGUAGGGGAGAACGGAAUUCCAGGUGUAGCGGUGAAAUGCGCAGAUAUCUGGAGGAACACCGAUGGCGAAGGCAGUUCUCUGGGCCAGUACUGACGCUGAGGAGCGAAAGCGUGGGGAGCAAA
rnacentral:rRNA from 1 species